AUUGAACGCUGGCGGCAUGCCUUACACAUGCCAGUCGAACGGUAACAGGUCUUCGGACGCUGACGAGUGGCGAACGGGUGAGUAAUGCAUCGGAACGUGCCCAGUCGUGGGGGAUAACUGCUCGAAAGAGCAGCUAAUACCGCAUACGACCUGAGGGUGAAAGCGGGGGACCGUAAGGCCUCGCGCGAUUGUAGCGGCCGAUGUCAGAUUAGCUAGUUGGUGGGGUAAAGGCCUACCAAGGCAACGAUCUGUAGUUGGUCUGAGAGGACGACCAGCCACACUGGGACUGAGACACGGCCCAGACUCCUACGGGAGGCAGCAGUGGGGAAUUUUGGACAAUGGGCGCAAGCCUGAUCCAGCAAUGCCGCGUGCAGGAAGAAGGCCUUCGGGUUGUAAACUGCUUUUGUCAGGGAAGAAAUCUUCUGGGCUAAUACCCCGGGAGGAUGACGGUACCUGAAGAAUAAGCACCGGCUAACUACGUG
rnacentral:rRNA from 1 species